rnacentral:snoRNA from 14 species
AAGCCAUGAUGAGGGCAUUGGUUGGUGUAACCUUUGAAACGCUCCCAUGCUUCACAUAAACUUUCACCAGCCUUCUGUGAAAAACCAGAGAUCUCAUUUCUGAGUCU